rnacentral:snRNA from 1 species
NNCCUUCGGCAGCACAUAUACUAAAAUUGGAACGAUACAGAGAAGAUUAGCAUGACCCUGCGCAAGAUGACACGCAAAUUCGUGAAGCAUUCCAUAUUAAA